AAAGCGGCCACACGCACACAAAUAAAGAUCCAAUAAGAGGUGACAAAAAACUCGUAAAUUUUCCCAAUUAUUCUCGAUAAAAAUACGUAAAUCCCUAAAAUAAUUGCAAUGUCUGUGACCCAAACUAGGAUGACUACCUAAAGUUGUAGUUGGCGUUGAGAAAAAAGCCCAGCAUUUUGGGUGAAUUCAAGUGUUAGGAGACUAAUUAAUUGUGGGGGAGCUUUUUGGUCAAAAGUGCAAUGGUGGAAGGAAUUUGUUUGAUUGCGGAAAAUGGGGAAAUUCGAAGGAAAACCUUAUGUUCAGGACAACUAUCUGACCAGGCGGAAGGCGGCUCAGCCGCAGGAGGAGUGUGAGAAGAAGAAGAAGAGAGAUUCGCUGCGAAAGGUCUCCAAGAUUUUGCGAAAGUGUGAAACACUGCGAACGGCGGAGGAAACUCGAUUGCUGGAGUCAUGUACGGAGGCUGUCAAGGAGAUUUCGCAGCGACGGGAGAAGGUGCAGCUGUACAAGGAGCGUAUCCAGGAGAAGGAAGAUCCGACGGAUGUCAUCGAGACGAAGGCUAGAAAGUUGGCAGAGGCCAUCACUAGGGCACGUCAUUUGAUCUGCUACACAGGAGCUGGGAUAAGUACGUCGGCUAGGAUUCCGGAUUAUCGGGGAAGCAAUGGGAUUUGGACACUUUUGGCGCAGGGGAAGGAUAUUGGGAAGCAUGAUUUGUCCCUUGCUGAGCCAACAUUCACCCAUAUGGCGCUGUAUGAGUUGCAUAGGCGGAAGAUGCUGAGGUUUGUGGUGUCACAGAAUUGCGAUGGACUUCAUUUGAGGAGCGGUCUGCCCAGGAAUUCGUUGUCGGAAGUCCAUGGGAAUAUGUACAUUGAGGCUUGCAAACAGUGUAAGCCCAAUGUGGAGUACUGGAGGCUGUUUGAUACGACGGAACUUACAGCGAGGUACAAUCACAAAACCAUGAGACGGUGUCAUAUCUGCGGGAAGCCCCUGGUGGACACAAUUGUGCAUUUUGGGGAACGUGGCAGUCUGCGGUGGCCACUGAAUUGGGCAGGAGCAUGUGCACAGUCAGAGAAGGCCGAUGUGAUUCUAUGCCUGGGCUCCAGUCUCAAGGUUCUGAAAAAGUAUUCCUGGCUCUGGGCAAUGGAUAGACCGGCGAAGAAACGACCAAAGCUGUACAUUGUGAAUCUUCAGUGGACGCCAAAGGAUAAUGUGGCAGCACUGAAAAUCAAUGGGAAGUGCGAUGAAGUGAUGAGAUUGGUGAUGAAGCAUCUCAAUAUCAUGGUGCCAGAGUACAAGAGACUGAAAGAUCCCAUCUUUGCUCAUGCCAGUCUCCUCAGUCCAUUGGAACUUCAUACAGUCAGUCAGCCGAUGCUAAAGUCCCAGAAUGAGCUAGAAUGCAGCGAAGUCUCCUUUGAGGAUGGAAAAAAAGAAGAAUCCUGGGAUGAUUCCCAGAGUGCCCUUGAUCUUUCCAGUGAAAAAAACUCAAUGGAGGAAGUUGUAGUUAAAAUUGAACCUGGUGAUGUGAAAGUGGAAGAUUCCAGGCCCAAUAGCCCAGAGAUUAAAAAAGAGAUUGAGACAAAAGACUCAGAAGCAGUAACUAGUGUAGAAUACAAUAAGACUUGUAGCUGUAAGAAAAGUAGUUUAGGUGAAGAAAACUCAGGUGAACCAACAGAAAAUGGCCCAGAGACUGAUAAGGAGGAGUGUCUUUGUGCAUCAGAUUCAUCCAAUACACCCCUGGAUUUGAGUUUUAAGCACGAGGACACUGUUCCUGACGAUAGCAUCACGGAUCCAGAAGCAUCACAAUUGUCUCCGGCAGAGAUUUCCGAGGAUCAUCCGAGUGGAGGCGAUGCGAUAGCCUGUGAUAGAAGCAGUACCGAACUCUUGGGAGAGCAACUGCUCAAUGUUGCCAAAAUUCAAUUUAGCAAUGCUCUGAGGAAUCUGAGGAAUUUUCAUCUGAAAACAGACAGAAGAUUCCUCUUUCCAGUCACCGAAAGUGCGUCCACGGGAAAGACAGAAGGGAGUCCGGAGAAUGUCUCAGUUGAAAAUGAGAAAUCCCCAGAGGACUACUACAAAGACCUUCUGAACUAUUACAAGGCCAUUGAGGGCUCUUUGCCGUACUGGUACGAUACAAAUUAUGCGUACUCGGGUUUGCACAGUAUUAUCAAUCCGCCGCCAUCGGAUAUGGAUCUCUGGGGUUCGAUAUUCAUCCCGAUUUUUCAAAUAAAAGGCGCCACAAAUGCCGAAUGUGAAUUCUGCUUUGACAAUUACGGUGAACUGGGAUGUCAGUUUUAUACGGCACGGAAGCCCGAGUUCCAGGUCACGGUCGAGCGCAGUGGCAAGGUUGUGGUCUGCGAGUGCUGUGACUUCACGGAGAAUGAGGAGUCUGAGGAGGAAGAGGGCCCUGGGGGUGCAAAGACGACGUCUUCCAUUGAGGAGGAAAAUAGCGUGUCGGACGAGGCGAGUGGGCGUGAGGAGAAGCGACCGAAGUUGGAGGGUGAGAUGCGUGAGCCAAAAAUCCAGGCCGGAUGGUAUGGCAAGGGCUACAGAAAGAACAGGAAGCGCAAAAAGAGUUGAAGAAACUAUACACAAUGUCUGUAGAAGGACUUGGUUUAUUUUUCACAUUUUAACGUCAUUUCCCGAUAAAUUAUUCUCUUGGCAUCGAUCUCUUUUUCAACGUUCUACUUGCCACAAUUUGGAGAUUACAAGAAAAAAAACAGGAGUAUUAAUCUAAGUUAAUUUAUCAGUAUCUUUUUUUUACAUUAUUAUUGUGUUCCGUGUGUGAGACUAAAGUAAGUGUGAAGAGUGAAAAUAUAAUUAUUGAAAAAUUCAAAA